GGGGAUGUAAAGGUUUCGACGGGGGUGUGGAAGCGGGAUAAGCGAGCCGUAGUUUGCCGGGUCUACGUUAAAAACGGCACGUUAAACACAAACGGAAAAACUAAGACAAAUUACGCACUCGCAGCAUAAAGCUGCCCGCGUCGUCGGCUCUGAUUCACCUGUAGGUCAGUGAUCCGGCGUAAGAAUACAGGAAAACUCUGUGUGAGCUCCCGGUAGCACAGGGGAACAACGGGAUAGCCGAAUCUGUGACUUGCCGCGUGAAGCACAGGUGAAGCGAAUAAAACAGCACCGGCUGCGCUCGGAGAAAGUCCCUGCAGAAACGCUUUCGGACGUGGGUUCGACUCCCACCAUCUCCACCA
rnacentral:tmRNA from 1 species